rnacentral:rRNA from 1 species
AUUGAACGCUGGCGGCGUGCUUAACACAUGCAAGUCGAGCGGUAACAGGUGUAGCAAUACAUGCUGACGAGCGGCGAACGGGUGAGUAAUGCUUCGGAAUCUUCCUAGUAGUGGGGAAUAACCUGGGGAAACUCAGGCUAAUACCGCAUACGACCUACGGGUGAAAGCAGGGGAUCGCAAGACCUUGCGCUAUUAGAUGAGCCGAAGUCGGAUUAGCUAGUUGGUGAGGUAAAGGCUCACCAAGGCGACGAUCCGUAGCUGGUCUGAGAGGACGACCAGCCACACUGGGACUGAGACACGGCCCAGACUCCUACGGGAGGCAGCAGUGGGGAAUAUUGGACAAUGGGGGCAACCCUGAUCCAGCGACGCCGCGUGUGUGAAGAAGGCCUGCGGGUUGUAAAGCACUUUUAGUGGGGAUGAAAAGCCAAGGGCUAAUACCCUUUGGUCUUGACCUAACCCAAAGAAAAAGCAACCGGCUAACUCUGUGCCAGCAGCCGCGGUAAU